AGGAUAUAGUUCAGUGGUAGAACACAUGCUUAGCAUGCACAAGGCCCUGGGUUCAAUCCCCUGUACCUA
rnacentral:tRNA from 1 species